rnacentral:rRNA from 1 species
GAUAGGUUAAGUUAAUAAGGGCGCAUGGUGGAUGCCUUGGCACUAGAAGGCGAUGAAGGACGUGACUAACUACGAUAUGCCUCGGUUAGCUGUAAGUAAGCUUACCCGGGGGUUUCCGAAUGGGGCAACCCGAUCUUAAUGAUCAUCAUCUUUUUGAAUUCAUAGAUUAGAUG